GCAGACAGCAGUGCGUUGGUGCUUUCGGAAUGGUCUACUGUUACUCAUCAACGGUUUCCUUUCCCUUAUCCGUUUCGGUGA
rnacentral:sRNA from 1 species